UUGAAUACUCUUGGGUGCUGAUGCUGGCCUUUCGAGGCAUGUGCUCGCAUUCAUAACCAUUCAUCUUCUCUUGUGCACCUUUUGUAGCUCUCUUUGGAUCGUGGGGGAAGGUUUUUUUUAGGCCUUUCUUUGCUUUUCAAGGAAGCUAUGUUUUCAUAUACAUUAUCAAGUUAUAGAAUGUCUAUUUAACGGCCGUAAAAAGCCAUUAAACCUAAUA
rnacentral:misc_RNA from 1 species